rnacentral:rRNA from 1 species
AUACGUAGGUGACAAGCGUUAUCCGGAUUUACUGGGCGUAAAGGGCGUGUAGGCGGUCUUGCAAGUCAGAAGUGAAAUUCCUGAGCUCAACUCGGGCGCUGCUUCUGAAACUGCAGGACUUGAGUGCUGGAGGGGAUAGCGGAAUUCCUAGUGGAGCGGUAAAAUGCGCAGAUAUUAGGAAGAACACCGGUGGCGAAGGCGGGUAGCUGGACAGUAACUGACGCUGAGGCGCGAAAGCGUGGGGAGCAAACAGGAUUAGAUACCCUGGUAGUCCACGCCGUAAACGAUGAGCACUAAGUGUCGGAUGAAUUUUCGGCGCUGCAGUUAACACAAUAAGUGCUCCGCCUGGGGAGUACGGACGCAAGACUGAAACUUAAAGGAAUUGGCGGGG